UUCUUACUUUAUAUUUAAGUGCAUUCUUUCCAUCACCAACAAUUUGAGUCUGGGGGUUUAUUUCCAACAAUUUUGGUGCCCAACAGUGAGACCUGAGGGUCUCUGAGAUGUGGAACUCCUUCCUGGAGGAAACACAUUCCACAUAGCCUCAUUGCCAUGGCCUCCAGGACAAGAAACCAAGUCUAAGACCACCAGACCCAGACAAGAUCUAUCAGCAACCUUAAAAGGGUCCCAGAGGCAAGAAACCAUGGUAAUCAGGAGGCUUCAUGCAUGAACCAAGGAAGUGGUGCACCGGAUUAAUACAUCACUAAGUGAGAAUUCAAUGACUCUUUUGUGAAAGUGGUGACCUGUACAUCAGGAACAUAAUGCAAUUGCAACUACAUAACCAGAACAGAGAGUGGACCUCUGCUGAAGACGUGCCCAGUCGUUUCCAUUGUUAAAAGAGAGUCUGGCUUGAAAUUGUUUUCAAUUUUUCAAAUAACAGGGAAAGAUGUAAGUGAAAUAUCUCAGGCAGAGUGAGGGAAAUAUAUUUUUAGUUUUGUCUACUUAUUUCAUGUCCUGUAUAAUCAGUCAGUGUCUUCUCCAAUUUUACCUUAACCUCAGAGAGAAGGUUCAAGAGCAGGGAAGCGUGCUGGAAAUCACAAACGCUGUUACUUUGACCUAGAUUACCUGAGCUAAAAAUUCUGACUCUGCUCUUUGCUCGCUAUGUGAUUCCAGACAAGUUACUCUUCAUAUCUGUAUCUGAAUUUUAACCAAACAAUACCUUAUAAGAAAGUUAUGAUAAUUACAGAAGUCUAAAGAAUGUAAAGUACUUAGAACAAUAUCAAGCAUGGAUAUAAAUCUUUAUUAUCAUCAUCAAAAACAUGUGGACCAGGCUGGCUGAUAAUCACAUUCUGAGCAUAACAGGAACUGGAAAUAUUUAUGUAUCAAAUAGAUGAAAAACUUCCUGAGUAGACAUUCAUGUGUAUGUACACCAGCAUUUUAUAUACAAAUAUAGAGAUAUAGAUAUAUGCAUAUGUAAAUGUGCAUAUAUAUAUAUAUGUAUAUGAAUACUGAUACAAUUGUUUUGUCUUUAUACAGUAACACUAAGGCAACUGCAUUUAAAAUGUAAAGUUGGGGAAUGGCUUAAAAUUUUAAAGCUACACUGUCAUUAAUUUUGCAAGAUGUCAGAGUUUAAAGGAAAAUACCAGUGAGAAGCCAUGGAACAGCCUCUGUAUAAUGAGGGAUGAAAGAAAAGGGGAAUGACAUUUAUUCCUCUCUGCCCUGUCACUUUGGCUUUACAUCAGUUGCUUAAGGGGUGGCACUGAAGCAUGUGACUGGUUUCAAAAGAGCCUUAAUAAUGAAAGAGAAAAGCGAUUCUUGCAUAUUAAAUGUACUGCAGAUUCAAUACACUGAAAAGGACAACAGGAAGAAGAAUAAUCAUAUUUUAUUGUGGGAAACAAACAAUUUUCACUUACUAUCCUAAAGUCAGCAUGGCAGAUGGCACGAGGCAGCAAGAUGGGCCUUGUGAACCCAGAGCUCUCUGAAUUCAGGGCAUAUUUCUACUGUGAAGGAAAGACAACAGCGGCGCUGACCAGCUGUGACUUCUCCAGACGGUCACGAAUGCCGCAGCCACAAGGAGGCUCAGGUAUUCCAAGUCCAGGCUCAGUGUUCUUUCCUUGUGCUGCAGUUGCUCAGUUUGGCCAAGUUUCUGUUUGUGAAGCUUUUUAGGAAAAGGAAAAAAAGUACUUCCAAAUGUGGUAAAUUACAUAUACUAAUUUAAGUAUAUAUAAAUAACUCAUUGCAUUUCAGAAGAAUGUUUUCCUUUUUUCAUUGUUGAAGUAAGGUAACUGUGAAGCUGAAACUCAGUGUAUUUCCAAACCCAAGUUAAUAAAUGUAAUAGUGAUUAGAGGUUCAUCUACUAGGUGUUCAAUAAACAGAGUUCACACUGUGUGACAACCUGGAAAAUGUAAUAUUUAUUUUUCACUUUUAAACAAAUUUAUUGAAGUUUAAUUUAUAUUCAAACAUCAUCCUAUUUUAAAGU